UACAGGGGGGGGCAAGCGUUGUUCGGAAUUACUGGGCGUAAAGGGCUCGUAGGCGGCUAUUUAAGUCAGACGUGAAAUCCCUCGGCUUAACCGGGGAACGGCGUCUGAUACUGGACGGCUUGAGUUCGGGAGAGGGAUGCGGAAUUCCAGGUGUAGCGGUGAAAUGCGUAGAUAUCUGGAGGAACACCGGUGGCGAAGGCGGCAUCCUGGACCGACACUGACGCUCAUGCACGAAAGCGUGGGGAGCAAACAGG
rnacentral:rRNA from 1 species